GACGAACGCUGGCGGCGUGCUUAACACAUGCAAGUCGAACGGAAAGGCCCUGCUUUUGUGGGGUGCUCGAGUGGCGAACGGGUGAGUAACACGUGAGUAACCUGCCCUUGACUUUGGGAUAACUUCAGGAAACUGGGGCUAAUACCGUAUAGGAGCUCCUGCUGCAUGGUGGGGGUUGGAAAGUUUCGGCGGUUGGGGAUGGACUCGCGGCUUAUCAGCUUGUUGGUGGGGGAGUGGCUUACCAAGGCUUUGACGGGUAGCCGGCCUGAGAGGGUGACCGGCCACAUUGGGACUGCGAUACGGCCCAGACUCCUACGGGAGGCAGCAGUGGGGAAUAUUGCACAAUGGGCGGAAGCCUGAUGCAGCAACGCCGCGUGCGGGAUGACGGCCUUCGGGUUGUAAACCGCUUUCGCCUGUGACGAAGCGUGAGUGACGGUAAUGGGUAAAGAAGCACCGGCUAACUACGUG
rnacentral:rRNA from 1 species